CUCAUAAUUCUUUUUAUAAACAAAUAAGUUGGGAGUGUUAUAGUGGCCUUUGGGGCUUUGGGCUGCUAGUCUGCUACACAUAUGCGGGUGCUCAGAAACCCUAACCUCUUUUCUUUCUCUUUUUCUAUCAGAUCUCAUUCCAAAUUUUGCCCUAGUUCAAGAUGCGCACACCUCCAACAAAACCUCAUAAGCCUCCGCCUAAUCAGAACUCCAAACAUCUCGUCGGAAAUCAAAUCGUCAUUUUCUCGGUCGUUUUCAGUCAUUCAGAUCUAGGAUUUACGGUUCUAGGGUUUACGCAUAUACAUCGAGACUCUCGUGAUAGGUUUCGGUGAAGCAGAUUUAGCAAUAAUGGAGGAACCAAAAAGCGCCUACUGAAGAAAAACGACCUUUUCGAACAUGAUGAGUUUCUUAAAAGUUCUAAAACGAUGUAAGAUUGGAUCCAAGUGCCCGAUUGUUACGGAUAAUUACUGCGAGGAUGCGUACGAUGUAUUUCAAAACGCUAUCUUGAAGAAAAUCAUGUGACACAAGAACAAAGAGACAAUGCUUUCCUUGAAGCUCUUAGACAUAACUAAUGAGACUGAGGCAAUACUCUUAGGUUUCCAACAUUAUCUUGUGAUGCUUGGAACAACAGUUGUCAUUCCAACAACUCUUGUACCUCAAAUGGGUGGUGAGAAUGUAAGUCUUUCCAGUUUCCACUAAAUCUUGAAAACUCGUAUUCUUUUUUUAUUUCUUAGUUUUUUAUAGUGGUGGCAAAGUGGUCAAGUUGGAUGAGGUUGGGUAAUGGGUCAAGAUGGGUUUGGGUUAUGAUGGUUAUAGGUCAGAAUGGGUAUUUAAAAAAAAGGUCGGAUGGGUAAUGGGUCAAGAUGGAUUUGGGUUAGGAUGCGUUUAAGUAAAUACAGGUUUGGGUAAAGAUGAGAUGAAAAAAUAAUUAAAAAAUAAAAUAAAAAUUAUAAAAAAUAAAAAAUUAUAAAAAUUAUAAAAAUUAUAAAAAAUCAAUAAAAUUCUAAAAAUCUUAAAAAUUCUAAAAAAAUCCUAAAAAAAAACUUAUGCUCCAGCCCUCUUGGUUUUGUGUUCAUUUCGUUUUUAUUAGUGUUUAUGAGAAACCAUCUUCUUGAAGUUUGUUUAAACUGAUAGCUUUUACACUAUAUAAAAGAAUCUUGUUUGAAUUCGUUAGAAAUAAAAAGUAACUCAACUCGCAUUUAGUUUAAAAUUCUGCAUUUAUAAUAAGUAAUUAGUGUCAAAUACGGGUUAGAAAUAAAACAUAAUAGAACCUAAGCAAGAAAAAAACACUUAUGUAUUUAAAACGCAUAAUCAAUAAAAUAGAGAUAAUUUAAAUAUCUAUGUAUCUAUAAACAUAUAUAAACAUUAAAAAAGAGAAGCUUUACCUGCGUUUAAAGAGAACGUAGGAAGAAUGUAGGAAUCUUUAUAUACGUGUAUUCCUGAAUUAAAGUCAGCAGUAGAAAUGUCAAUGUAUCUAAAACACAUAAACAAUAAAAAUUAGAAGCUUUACUAACCGUGGAUUUAUGAUCAGAGAAGUGCAUGAAUGUAAAAGUGAAAUAUAACAUUGAAGCUAUAUUUAAAGUCUUCAAUCAGAGCAGUUAUCAAUCAGAGCAGUUAUUUUUACUCAUUGGAGCAGUUAUAGUAAGUUUUUUUUACUAAAAUCAGACGUGGAUAGACCACAAGUGAUAUCUAGUUUGAGAAAAACUUAUGUAGAUGUGUUAUUUUAAAAAAAUAUGGUUACAAUUCAUUUAUUUAUAGUUAUUUAUAAAAAAUAAAACUUAAACAUAACCCUUUUUAUGAUAUUUGUUUAACAACUUUUUAUACAUAUAAUAGUUUACUUUUUUAUACAUUGACAAAACAUAUAUAUAAUUCUUUUUUUUAGCUGGUAAAACGGUAUAAUACAAAUAUUAGUAAUGUUAAAAAAAUUUUAAUACUGUUAGUAAUAUUAUACAAAUUGUCAAUAAUAAUGUUAAAACUGAUAAUAGUUAUAUUAAUAAUAAUAUUAACAAAACAUCUGAAAACUAAUUAUAUUUUUAUUUAAUUUAAUUUAGGCUGAUUAUCUGUAGACUACAUAGGCAAACCUAAAACUAAUAAUAAAUAUAGUGUUUUUUUCUUAUAAAAAUGAAAUGUUGUUCAUAUUUUCUUAUAAAAAUAAAAUCUUGUUUAUAUAAUAAUAAUAAUUAUUAAUUACUAAUAAUAACAUUAAAUUACUAAUAAUAACAUUAAAACAAUUAAUAAUAUUAAUAAAAGUACGACUAUAUAUAAUGAUAAUAAUAAUAAUAUGAAUAAUUAGUUUACCCCACUUUUCCACUCUCCCACUUCCUAAAAUUUAGUUUUAAAAAAUGUUGGAUAUUUUAAUAUGAUUUCUGGUUUUUUCUUUCUAUCUGAACUUGACCUAAACAUAUCUAUAAUAAUUUUUUAUUCAUAACAGAAAUGGUUAUAAUGUAUAUAUAAAUAUACAAUAAUAAUAUGAUACUAAAAUUCAUUUGUAGGAUUCUAUGUUAUAUAAUUUAGACAAUAAUAAUAAUAACAUGAUACAUGAUAGGUAGUUAUUUUUUAAUAUGAAUAUUGUACUAAUAUCAUUAAUUGUUAUAUUAGUAUCACUAUUAUAGUAAGGCAACUUAUAUGAAUCAGAGAUGUAAAAUUGAAGUCAUCUGGAUUAAUUUAAAACUCACUAAGCAUGGUUUGAAGUAAAGCUAAAAACAAAAAAAAACAUAGCAAAUAGUUAUCAAAACUAAAGAUUUAGACGGAAUCGACUCGAACAACUCGUUCACGGGUACGUAUUUCAACUUGUGGAAUUUUAGAUUUCCUCCAAAAACUCUCCAUUGGAUCUGCAGUAUCAGCCAUCUCAUCAUCGGGAUGUGGAUCGUCUUCGGAAGCUCCAUGAUCGCUGCUGACAACAAUUUAAAAAAAUAAUGUAGACAUAAAAAAUAAAAUAUAUAACACUGCUAUAAUUCAGAUUUACCUGCUCACUGAUUUCACGUAGAAUUUCUGAAGCAGUUGGACUUGACUCUCCAUCACAUUUUAUUAUCUCAACACUUUUUAUAGGUUUCUACAAAAUCAAUGUACAUCAUUAGAUAUCACUUUUACAGAAUUUCUGAAUAUGUUUACUUACAUGUGAUUUGAGGUGUUGCUCCUCUUUGACUUCUUCGGUUUUGGGAUCAUCUUUUUCAACUUGGUAAGUCGGCUCCGGCUUAAAUAGAAAAGAUAAAAAAUAUUAUAAAGUAGAAAUGGUAGGUAAAUAUGUAGAACUGAAAAAAUUACAUUACAUUUAAAUAUGUUUACUUACAGGCUAGUCAAGGUGUUGUUGCUCCUUCUCUUCGGUUUUGGGACCAUAUUUUUCAACUCGAUGAUUUUUUUUGCAGGUAUCAUUUCAUGGCAGCAAACUUGUAACACAAUGUUUAGCUUUUAAAAAAGUUUUAUACUUUUUACUGUUUUAUUUUUUAUAAAAUAACCCGUUGUAAAAAAAGGUUAAAGUUUUUGUUGUUAUAUAAAGUAGAACCUUUUAUUGUAAAUUAGAACAUGGGGUGUCGGUUGUGAUGAUUACCAAGUCAAAUGCAAAACUGGAACCUCAAACAUACAAACCGUCUGUAACCUCUACUUCUAGAAGGAAUAUAGUAAUUUAUAAAGAUUUUUUAUUUAA